CUCCACCGCUUGUGUGAGCCCCCGUCAAUCCCUUUGAGUUUCAGCCUUGCGACCAUACUCCCCAGGCGGGGUACUUAACACUUUUGCUUCGGCAGUGAACCCAUGUUAAGUCCACUACCUAGUACCCAUCGUUUAGGGCUAGGACUACCGGGGUAUCUAAUCCCGUUCGCUCCCCUAGCUUUCGCGCCUCAGCGUCAGAAGAGGUCCAGUACGUCGCUUUCGCCACCGGCGUUCCUUCCGAUAUCAACGCAUUUCACCGCUCCACCGGAAGUUCCACAUACCCCUACCUCCCUCGAGACCGCCAGUAUCCAAGGCACUUUUCCGGUUAAGCCGAAAGAUUUCACCCCGGACUUGGCAGCCCGCCUACGCGCCCUUUAAGCCCAGUGAUUCCGAACAACGUUCGCACGGUUCGUCUUACCGCGGCUGCUGGCACGAACUUAGCCCGUGCUUCCUCCAGG
rnacentral:rRNA from 1 species